UACGUAGGUGACAAGCGUUGUCCGGAUUUACUGGGCGUAAAGGGCGCGUAGGCGGUUCUUUAAGUCAGGCGUGAAAGCCCUGGGCUCAACCUGGGAGUGGCGCUUGAUACUGGAGGACUAGAGAGUGGGAGAGGUUGGUGGAAUUCCCAGUGUAGAGGUGAAAUUCGUAGAUAUUGGGAAGAACACCGGUGGCGAAGGCGGCCAACUGGACCAUUUCUGACGCUGAGGCGCGAAAGCGUGGGGAGCAAACAGG
rnacentral:rRNA from 1 species